UCCUCUUCUUUCCUCUUUCUCUAUGCUUCAUCUUCAUUUUUCUGCACUUUUCCUCAAGCAUUUCAGUGGAAAUCAAUCCUCGUUUUAAAUGGAGAGUUCGAACUUUAGCGACUUGGUAAAUCCUUAUCCAAGUUAUUUGUCAGAUGAUGAAGAUGAAGAAGAACCGGAGGAAAUACGGAGGGAGCAAGAUGAGAAGAAAUGGAAGGCUUUAUGUCAAAUAGCAGAAAUAUUGUAGCGCACAUUUGGAGUUUGGAAAGCAAGAUGGUCUAUUUUGCGAGACAUGCCUUUCUAUCGCACUUGCUACUAUGGCCAUUCAUAACUAUAUUAGAAAGAAAUGUAAUAUGAAUGAUGCAUUCCGAGCAGCUGAGAAUGAGAGAUAUAUUCCAUUUGUUGAUCCUGAUGUUGGUACAUCUUCGAGAACUAAUAAUAAUAUAAACGUGGAAGAGCAAAGUGAUCUCGUUUGGAUGGGUCUUCAUGAUUUGGUUGCUAAUAAAAUUUGUGAA